rnacentral:rRNA from 1 species
AGUGAACGCUGGCGGUAGGCCUAACACAUGCAAGUCGAACGGCAGCACAGUAAGAGCUUGCUCUUACGGGUGGCGAGUGGCGGACGGGUGAGGAAUACAUCGGAAUCUACUUUUUCGUGGGGGAUAACGUAGGGAAACUUACGCUAAUACCGCAUACGACCUACGGGUGAAAGCAGGGGAUCUUCGGACCUUGCGCGAUUGAAUGAGCCGAUGUCGGAUUAGCUAGUUGGCGGGGUAAAGGCCCACCAAGGCGACGAUCCGUAGCUGGUCUGAGAGGAUGAUCCGCCACACUGGAACUGCGACACGGUCCAGCCUCCUCCAGGAGGCAGCAGUGGGGAAUAUUGGACCAUGGGCGCAAGCCUGAUCCAGCCAUACCGCGUGGAUGAAGAAGGCCUUCGGGUUGUAAAGCCCUUUUGUUGGGAAAGAAAAGCAGCAGGUUAAUACCACGCUGUUCUGACGGUACCCAAAGAAUAAGCACCGGCUAACUUCGUG